AGCUAAUUGCCUUCUUUCGGCGGAGAAAUAAAGCUAGAUGGUUGAUGACAAUGGCGCUGCAUCGCAAAUUUUGAUGUCUCACCACCUAUCUGCUCUGCAGAAACAUACUUGUCGUGUCUCGGGUUAAAGAAAGAUUACAGCCAGAAGAAUCUUUGAUCGGUGAUCCAUUUUGCCUCGCGAGAAGAGGCGAAAAGGAACUCAAGGCACAGUCCUAUCCAUCCUGCCAUGACACUUGAAGAAGACCUGCCAUGAUCUGAAACUCUCUCCAAGAUCUUCCUUAGGACCAAGAACAGGCUACCUUCGUCGAUUCACAGUCACUAGUUCUGUGCCCUUUAAUGCUCUUGAGUCUGGAGGUCGAUGAAAUAAUUUUGCAGGAAUUCAUGAUUUUGUGGUACAUAGCUCCCUUCCUGUAUGUAAAGUUUGUGUCAGCCAACUCAUAGUCAUGAAUCUCAAUUUAGACCUUUGUUGCAACAUACGCAGGACACCUCCGAAA